ensembl:lncRNA
AAAAAAGACAUUCUGAUUCCUAGCUGACCAUUUUUAGAUUGGGGCAUGGGGACGAUGAGGGACAGUGCAGGAGAUAACACGGUGUCCACAGAGAGAGUGUCCCCUGCCGGUGACCAGUGCCGUGCCCUACAGAUUGCUGCAAACACUCUCUCCAAAUUGCAGGCACAGUUUUGAGUCCCCACAGAGUGGUUCAUGUUGCAAUUUGUAGUCUCAAUUUCUUUUUACAAAAUUAUGAUGUUUAAAGCAUUGUGUAAUUAGGUCAGAGGAAAACAGUGUUUAUUCUAUGAGCUGAGCAGAGGCUGCUCGUCUGAAUUCUCAUUAACCCAGUGGUUGAUUUGCUACCGCCAAGAGUUUGCUGACAAUGAAGGCAUGAGAGCAGUCUGACAGUGCAGGGGACACGGGUUCGAUAUCUGGCUGGGAAACUAAGAUCCCACAUGCCAAGGAGAAACUAAGCCUGAAAGCGUCAAAUCCUGAGUCCACUCACCGCAGAGGCCGCCUACCUCAAUGGAAAGUUCCCGCGCUGGAAAGAUCCUGUAUGAGGCAAUCAAGUUCCUGUGUGCUGCAACUAAGACUCCACACGGCCAAACAGAUAAAAUUUUCCGCAGUUUAUUGUGAUCCACACAGUCUACUGGAGUGUAUUAGUGGUGAUGACGGAAUGAUUGUCCCACACCCAGAAUACCAGAUACUGCACUUUUUACAGACUGAGGGUUUGUGGUGACCCGCCUCGCACGUCUGUCGGAGCCAGUUUUGCAACAUUCGCUCAGCUCAUAUUUCUGUCACGUUUCAGUAAUUUGCACAAUAUUUCAAGCUUUCUUGUUCUCAUUGUGUGUUAAAGUGAUCUGUGGUCAGUGGCCUUUUAUGUCGUUACUGUGAUUGUUUCGGAGUGCCGUGAACCGUGCCCAUGUAAGAAGGCACUGAAACAGUGAACGUCAUGUGUGUUCUGCCUGCUCCACCCACUAGCUGCUCCCCCUGCUCUCACCUAGGGGCCCCCUGUUCCCUGAGACACAGCAAUAUUGAAAUUACAUCAGUUAGUAACUCUACUGUGGCCUCCAAGUGUUUGAAUAAAAG